GGAGGGGGGGCAAGCGUUGUUCGGAAUUACUGGGCGUAAAGGGCGCGUAGGCGGAAAUUCCAGUCAGAGGGUGAAAUCCCUGGGGCUCAACCCGGGAACUGCCUUUGAAACUGAAUUUCUAGAGUCCCGGAAGAGGAUGACGGAAUUCCAAGUGUAGAGGUGAAAUUCGUAGAUAUUUGGAAGAACACCAGUGGCGAAGGCGGUCAUCUGGUCCGGUACUGACGCUGAGGCGCGAAAGCGUGGGGAGCAAACAGGAUUAGAUACCCUGGUAGUCCACGCCGUAAACGAUGUGUGCUAGCCGUUGGGGCACUUAGUGUCGCAGUGGCGCAGCUAACGCGAUAAGCACACCGCCUGGGGAGUACAGUCGCAAGAUUA
rnacentral:rRNA from 1 species